UACGUAGGGUGCAAGCGUUAAUCGGAAUUACUGGGCGUAAAGCGUGCGCAGGCGGCUAUGCAAGACAGAUGUGAAAUCCCCGGGCUCAACCUGGGAACUGCAUUUGUGACUGCAUGGCUAGAGUACGGUAGAGGGGGAUGGAAUUCCGCGUGUAGCAGUGAAAUGCGUAGAUAUGCGGAGGACACCGAUGGCGAAGGCAAUCCCCUGGACCUGUACUGACGCUCAUGCACGAAAGCGUGGGGAGCAAACAGG
rnacentral:rRNA from 1 species